rnacentral:rRNA from 1 species
UAAUGGUCUGGGAAACUGCCCGAUGGAGGGGAUAACUACUGGAAACGUAGCUAAUACCGCAUAACGUCGCAAGACCCAAAGAGGGGGGACCUUCGGGCCUCUUGCCAUCGGAUGUGCCCAGAUGGGAUUAGCUAGUAGGUGGGGUAACGGCUCACCUAGGCGACGAUCCCUAGCUGGUCUGAGAGGAUGACCAGCCACACUGGAACUGAGACACGGUCCAGACUCCUACGGGAGGCAGCAGUGGGGAAUAUUGCACAAUGGGCGCAAGCCUGAUGCAGCCAUGCCGCGUGUAUGAAGAAGGCCUUCGGGUUGUAAAGUACUUUCAGCGAGGAGGAAGGGGAUGUGGUUAAUAACCGCAUUCAUUGACGUUACUCGCAGAAGAAGCACCGGCUAACUCCGUG